AUUUUAUUUUAUUGCUUUAAAUACGAUGUAAUUAUUUAUUGAAAACUUAAUAUGAAGUUAAGAAAGUAGUUAUUAACAAAAUUUAAAUUUGAGCUAUAGAUAAUAAGUACUGAAUAGGAAAUAAUAUAAGACAUUUUAAAAUAAUUAAGUAAAUUUUAAGUAUUGUACCUUGUGUAUCAGGGGUAAUUAAAUUAUAGCAUAUAUAGCAUGUAGUUCCCGAAUUAGAGAUAGCUAAUAUUUUAAACAAGUUUUUGUAACAAAAAAAUUUGUAAUAUAAUAUUAAAGAUGAAACGUCAAACGAGCUUUAAAUUACCUGGUUCUCUAGGAAUGAAAUAUAAUUUUAUUAUUAAAUUUAAUUUAUUUAAUAGUGAAGGGUAGGAGGGACAAGCUUCUUAUCACUAAGAAAAUUGUUUUAUAGAAGAAAUAAAGUAUAACUUUUCUAGGCUUAAAAGUAGCUAUGAUUAUAAAGUGUUUCAAUUUAGGUUGAAGUUUAAGCUAUUUAUUUCAUCUUUAUAUAGUACUAGAGUAUUAAUUAAGACUAAAAUAAUCAAGAAAAAAUGGUUGUAUGAGUAAAUAUAUGUUUAUAGAAAUAAGAGCAUUUAAAAUAGACUGAGUGAAUUAUAAAAGAUGUAGGAAACAAAAAAGGAACUCGGCAAAGUAUUCUUCUUGCCUGUUUAUCAAAAACAUGGCUAUUAUGAAAAUGUUUAUAGUCUAGCCUGCUCACUGAUGUAAAUAUUAAAUAGCCGCGGUAUCUUGACCGUGCAAAGGUAGCAUAAUCAUUAGUUUUUUAAUUGAAAACUCGUAUGAAUGGUUGGACAAAGAAGAGACUGUCUCUUUUAUUAAAGUUGAAUUUAACUUUUAAGUGAAAAGGCUUAAAUUUUCUAGAGGGACGAUAAGACCCUAUAAAGCUUUAUGAACUUAGACAUUCUAUAUAUUUUUAAAUAAAAAUAAUUUUUUAAAUGUUCAUUUGGUUGGGGCGACAAUAGUAUAAUAAGAGUAACUGCUUUUAAGUUUAACAAAAAUGUUUGAGUCAUAAUUAGUUGAUCCUUCAUAGAGAUUUUAAGAUCAAGUUACUUUAGGGAUAACAGCGUUAUUUUUCCUGAGAGUUCUUAUCAAAGGAAAAGUUUGCGACCUCGAUGUUGAAUUAAAAUGUCUUUAUAGUGCAGCAGCUUUAAAAGAAGGUCUGUUCGACCUUUAAUAUUUUACAUGAUUUGAGUUCAGACCGGCGAGAGCCAGGUCGGUUUCUAUCUUUCGGAGAGGAAAUAUUUACCUUAGUACGAAAGGAUUGGGUAAAUAAAAAGGUUUUGAUAAUUGAAAU
rnacentral:rRNA from 1 species